CCUACGGGAGGCAGCAGUGAGGAAUAUUGGACAAUGGACGCAACUCUGAACCAGCCAUGCCGCGUGCAGGAAGACGGCUCUAUGAGUUGUAAACUGCUUUUGUACGAGGGUAAACGCAGAUACGCGUAUCUGUCUGAAAGUAUAGUCCGACUAAGGAUAGGCUAACUCGGUGCUAGCAGCCGCGGUAAUACGGAGGAUUCAAGCGUUAUCCGGAUUUAGUGGGUGUAAAGGGUGCGGAGGCGGGCGGAUAAGUUAGAGGUGAAAUCCCGAGGCUCAACUUCGGAAUUGCCUCUGAUACUGUUCGGCUAGAGAGUAGUUGCGGUAGGCGGAAUGUAUGGUGUAGCGGUGAAAUGCUUAGAGAUCAGACAGAACACCGAUUGCGAAGGCAGCUUACCAAGCUACUUCUGACGUUGAGGCACGAAAGCGUGGGGAGCAAACAGGAUUAGAUACCCGGGUAGUC
rnacentral:rRNA from 1 species